UGGGGAAUAUUGCACAAUGGGCGCAAGCCUGAUGCAGCCAUGCCGCGUGUAUGAAGAAGGCCUUCGGGUUGUAAAGUACUUUCAGCGGGGAGGAAGGGAGUAAAGUUAAUACCUUUGCUCAUUGACGUUACCCGCAGAAGAAGCACCGGCUAACUCCGUGCCAGCAGCCGCGGUAAUACGGAGGGUGCAAGCGUUAAUCGGAAUUACUGGGCGUAAAGCGCACGCAGGCGGUUGAUUGAGUCAGAGGUGAAAUCCCCGGGCUUAACCCGGGAAUUGCAUCUGAUACUGGUCAGCUAGAGUCUUGUAGAGGGGGGUAGAAUUCCAUGUGUAGCGGUGAAAUGCGUAGAGAUGUGGAGGAAUACCGGUGGCGAAGGCGGCCCCCUGGACAAAGACUGACGCUCAGGUGCGAAAGCGUGGGGAGCAAACAGG
rnacentral:rRNA from 1 species